rnacentral:rRNA from 1 species
UUUAUACAACGAAGAGUUUGAUCCUGGCUCAGGAUGAACGCUAGCGACAGGCCUAACACAUGCAAGUCGAGGGG